CCCCAUGUCACACCCUGGCCUAACCAAAAUAAUAACAAAAACACAGAAUACUAAGGCCAGGGCGUGACACACAACCUUAAUUUAUGCUUCUUAACUUAGCACAUAUCAUCCCGGGUUGGAAUGUACAUUUGUAAAUGGUACCUUUUAUUGUCGUUAAUAACUAUUCUCAUUCCAACCUCCCUUUGUCCCUGUUUUCCUGUCGCAAGUGGCCUGGUAAUGAAAGAUCAGUUUCACAAUGUAUCCUUAGUCUAAACUGUUCGUAGUGUAUAGACCCACUUUCCCAUUUUUUUCCCCUUCUCCUGGCACUUUUUCAGAUAUCGUUCACAGGUCAUCUUCCCAACGGACUCAGAUAGAAGUGUUAAAAGUCACUGUCACAUUGCAUGCCUUUGUCGCUCUCUCUUCAGCCGGUAAGGGAGGGUUAUGAUGUUCAUACACGCUGUGUGUGGUCAAGUUAUCCCUACCGUGCAUUAAGACAUGAUCUGAUGUCACCUUCCAUGAUAACCCCCUUAUUCUAUUGUCGACCUCUCGGACGAGUUACCAGAUCAUGAAGUUAUCACCCUAACCCUUUGCAGAAUCCCACACUCCAGUCUCCCAAUCUGGUGAAUUUUGUAUCGAAACAAAAACACAAAAUGAAAUCAGCAAUACAUAUAUCACAAUCCAUUUGAAGUAACUGUCAUCCCUUAUUAACAUAUAUUUUCCCUUCUAUAUGCAGACUGAACACAGUACCUCUGUAUAUUUACCCAAAGACCAUGACCCCCAGGGAACUGGUCAUUUUCCCUUCGAAUAUGUGAUUCAAAAAUAACAUGUUAAAUCAAAUAAAAACUAUUCGAAUAACUAUUCAACUUAGAAUUACAACUCUUUAUAACUCCCUAAUUCAUAAUUGCCUCCCUGAAUUCUUUAUUUGAUUUGAAUUCUCCGUUAGCAGGGAAAUGUUACCCAAUAUUAUCAAUUUUGCUCAAUUCUUUCGAUAUUCGAGACGAAUUGGUAGAAUUUGCGUGCGAUUCUUUCAGUGACUCCAUGAUUUUAUUAAAAUAACUUUUUUCCAAGCCUCUCCCUAUUUUCCUGUGAUAUUCAUAUUUAUUCUUUGGUCCCUAGUUUAGUUUUAUUGUGCUAUUCACUUCAAUAAAACCACUCUUUCUCUUGUUAUUAGAUUUCUCCCUAUCGGUUAAGGGCUAAAAAUCUUUAACGGUCUGUUCAAGCCCUGAAUGACUUUACCACACCCUAUUCCCUCCUAUUUAUAUCCACAAGAUUUUUAUUUCUCUGAUUAUUGUGAUCGGUCUAUUGGUUAUUGCCCCUGUCUCUAGGUUUUUAUAAUUGUUCUCUCCUUUUGAGUAUAUUCUUACUUCAAAUGUUCCAAUUUCUAUAUUCCUCUAUACUGUAUAUUCUUCUAUCUUGUAAUACAGUAUGCAAUUUUUAAUGGCCUCACCGGGCAAUUGCUGAUGUCGUCUUGUCAUUUAUUACUAUCUUACUAUAAUGUUCAUAUUUUUUUUAAAUCCUGACUGUUCAAACUUCUAGUAUUUACAGUCUUUCUCAUACCAUUUACAUUCACUUCCCCUAGUGCAGGACCAGAUGCGUCCCCUCCGCAAGAUCACACUCAAGUGACAGUUCAGGAGGGGCGCGCAACCCUUUUCCCACCAACAGCAGAGAACUUUCACACUCACUUUCACACACCUCUUACGCUUUCGUAAGUGACCUGAUUUUACAGCACUUUUCUGAUUCACUUCCUCGACACAGAAAAGGCAAUAUUAUACGGAAUUUUUAACUAUCCAGGCAGUCCACACUGAUCGAUUAACUUCCUCGCAACAAUAAACGGAAUUACAGUAUUUCUACUUAAUUUUAUUCGACCAUGCAGAUAGACAGUUGCCACUCCAAACUAGAUCGAACAGUCAACAGGGCAGACAAAUAACCUGAAUGAGACUGAACACCCACCCCAGCUGAGCAACUGAGCGAGCUGGAUGAAUUGAAUGACACACCUGACUUGGACUGACUGAAUAAGAUGAAUGGGCUACGUUUUGUGCGCAAACUCAAACAGGUCUAAACAAAUAAGUCUAGCCAAACUGAAUCAGACAACACUGUCACAACCCAAACAGACUUAACAAACGGAUCAGAUGAACCGCCUGAACCAAUGAGUGAAUAACCCCACUCAACUGAGCCAGUCAAGACAGAUGAAGCACAUAAAUCUCCCUCUGCAGUUGGUCACACACCAAUUACUAUAUUAUAUUUUCACUAUUGCAACCCUGAAAUCUGUUUAUCCCCUCAUUAUUUUGCAUGCAUUUCAUUGAACUCAAAAUCUCCCAAUAUUUAUUUGGUUCGUCAAAUUUGGAGAGACCCACUUGGUGCCUUACUGCUGAGACAGAUUCACAGGGCAAACCACAUAAAAACUCUAUUACUAUAGGUAAGAACUCGGCUUACCGUCUUUUCAAAUGGCCACUUGUAUUUUUGUGCAGUUUGUCUAAGAAGCCUGUCCGCAGCUGCAGAUUUUCACCGUCUCUGGUCCCUUUUCGCCACUCCUGGCAAGCUCGCCAUUUACGUGGUGGAAAUAUUCAGUCAAUAAUAUUUCUCAUAAACCGGAGCCUUACAAUUACAAUAGUAACAAGUGACAAGCCGAGCUGGAUCAUGAAAACAAUUGACUUUCCAGCCUCUACACACAUUUCUUAUACAUAUUUCCUCCUUACGUCACACACACAUAGUAACUCCUCUUUAUGUUAAUGAUUCAUCCCCUCUGGCAUUUAGCCACCAUUAUGUUUUUGCCUUGCACUCAUUUUAGUUUGGUUUCACAUUAGGGCAUGGAAACAUUAGAGCCAUAGCAAUGGUUCAAAAAUAAACAGACAUUUAAUCCUGCUAACUCCUCUGAAAUGAGCACACAUGUUCUGGAAAAUUCCCUUUAGUGUCUGUGUCAUAGACCACAUUUCCAAUCAGACAUCAGCCUCCUGUGAGUAAAGUGUGACAGUUCAGAGACCUUCAGUUCAUAUCUGGCUGUUGUUUGGUUGUCUGGCUGUUGUCUGACUGUGACUCUCAUGUUGUCACUAGUUACCUGAACACGGUGACGACGUCAAGUCUGUGGGACCCGCACCUUCUCAACCCUCUACCUUGGGUCUGAAUGGUGACAGAAACAUGCCGGUGGUCCGGGGACUGGGCUCAGCUGACCCAGAAGAGGUGAAGAGGCUGAAGGACACCAGCUUCUUCAUCUGUAAUCGAUAGCUGCUUCUAUGAUUAGGGUUUUCCCAGCAUGACAACGACCCGAAACACACAGCCAGGGC